GCCGGGUGUGGUGGUGCAUGCCUGUAAUCCCAGCUACUCAGGAGGCUGAGGCAGGAGAAUCGCUUGAACCCAGGAGGCGGAGGCUGCAGUGAGCCGAGAUCAUGCCACUGCACUCUAGCCUGGGCAACAGAGCAAGACUCUGUCUCCA
rnacentral:SRP_RNA from 1 species